UACGGAGGGUGCAAGCGUUAUCCGGAUUUACUGGGUUUAAAGGGUGCGUAGGCGGGCCUUUAAGUCAGUGGUGAAAGCUCCGAGCUUAACUCGGAAACUGCCAUUGAUACUAUUGGUCUUGAAUUCGGUCGAGGUUGGCGGAAUGUGUCGUGUAGCGGUGAAAUGCUUAGAUAUGACACAGAACACCGAUUGCGAAGGCAGCUAGCUAGACCGAGAUUGACGCUGAGGCACGAAAGCGUGGGGAUCAAACAGG
rnacentral:rRNA from 1 species